AGGAAAUAGAAGGCCUUUGGUAAUGCCCUUUUCUCCUCAACUCUUUUGUUUAUUCGUAACCAAGAGCUCAGGGAAAGCUUUUAAUCAUGGCAGAAACCGAGAGCUUCCAAUCGAAUUAUAGAAACAAAAGCCAAGGAAAGCACUACAGUUUUGCAACACAAUUUCCAAUCGGUUGAAGGUUGAGCGAUGAUGCGCCAUGGUGAGUGUUGAGUGGAGCCUCUGAAAUCUACUCAUUAUCUUGUACCGAAUAAGUCGUGUCUUCACACAUGAUGUCAUUCGUUUCUCUUGGAUGCUUCCGCCAAAGACUAUUUA